GACGAACGCUGGCGGCGUGCUUCAUACAUGCAAGUCGAACGAGAAGCUGACUUCGGUGUGUGGAAAGUGGCGGACGGGCGAGUAAUAUGUAGGAAAUCUGCCUGUAGUAGAGGGACAGCAGAGGUAAACUUCUGGUAAUACCCCAUAUGAGCGUAGCUGAAAUGCUAUUCUUGAAAAGUCCGGUGCCUAAGGAUGAGCCUGCAUCUGAUUAGCUAGUUGGUAGUGUAAUGGACUACCAAGGCGACGAUCAGUAGCUGGUUCGAGAGGAUGACCAGACACGAUGGGAGUGAGACACGGGCCACACUCCUACGGGAGGAAGCAGUAGGGAAUUUUGCGGAAUGGGCGAAAGACUGACGCAGGAAGGCCGCGUGAACGAUUAAGUCCGUCGGGGUGUAGAGUUCUGUUAGUGCGGACGAAACUUGACGGUAACCACAGAGGAAGCACCGGCUAACUCCGUG
rnacentral:rRNA from 1 species